AAAAAUACAGAAAAGGAAAAAAAAAGCUUAGUGGUAUUCAGCAAAUUGUGAUCACCCACUAAGGUCCACCAUUUGCUUAAAACCAGAUGGGUAAGCGGGUUGAAUAGGCGGAUUCCUGGGACCCACUGGGAAGGUACUGAGGGUGGAAUCCUGAAAUCUACAUUUUUAAAGACACUUCUUCUUUAUAGAUAUCACUUCUUUCCUCCAAAGCACAACUGCAAACAUUUCUGUUAUAAAAAGAUUAAAUAAGUCAUCCCACUCCUUUUAGAUCCUCUUAAUCCAUUUUCUUUGCUGUCUCCUGCACUCAGAGAAAAUACACAUCCUUUUUUUCCCUGUUCUUUGUAAAGAGUCUAAAAUGCUCCUGUUCUGUGUUUUGCUUGGGAACAAGUGUUUUCCCUGGUCUAAAACAGAAGUUGGUAAACUACAGUCCUGGGGCCAAAUCUGGCCCAUUGCAGGUUUUUUUUUGUUUUGUUUUGUUUUGUUUGUUUUUUUUUUUGUAAUAAAGUUUUAUCAGAACACAGUCAUGCCAUUUUGUUUACAUAUUGUUUAUGGCUACUUUUACAUUACAAUGGCAGAGGUGAAGGUGUGCAGCAGAGACAGAAUGGCCUGUCAAGCUUAAAUAUUUACUAUCUGCCUUUUGUAGAAAAAGUUUGCCAAAUGCUGGCUUAGAAGGGUGGCAGCUGUUCAACAAACCCAUGUACACAUAUCUAGACUACAUUUCCCAGCCUCCCUUGCAGUUAGGCAUGGUCAUGUGAUGGAGUUCUGGUGUGGAGUUGCGAGAGGAAACUCUGAGCUGGUCUGGCCUCUGAAAUCUCCUGGAAUUGAUCCUCCCAGGCUGCAGACAAACAUAGCCUUGAACCUAGGACCCUUCCUGCUGAAGGUGGCAGAGGCUUCUUAGUUUGGGUCUAAGAAAGAGUUUGGGUCUCUUAGUCAUUAAUUGAAGGCAAACCACUUAUUCAUCAGGAAAAGCCAUUUUGCAUUUUAUAUUAGAAAUAAACCUCAAUCGGUUUGUAUUAUACAUUACAUUAAAAUCAUUUGUUGCAGCAUCACAGCUGAACUUAAAAUCUCCUCUAUUUGGCUAAAAGCUGGAGGGAGUUAAGAAGUGAGGUCACUUCCUUACUCAGAAUGCCCAUAGUGUCUCCAAAAGCUUAGAUGGGAAGUGUGGGGACAGCUACUCGGGUGCAGGAGAAAGAGGAUGGAGGAGAAGCAGAGAGACGUGAGUGGUUGUGGGAACCAGUUUUGGCCAUGGUGUCUGCUCCCGUCCUGCAACACCAGCACGACAAACAGUGGUUCUCUAGGGAUGACCAGUAGAUGUCCUACCUUAGACAGUGCCAGAGGAAUCAGCCCAUUUGCUCCAGAAAGAAUUAUUUCCAGGGCAGAUGGAACAGUCUAGUGUCAAAGUUAGAAUCCUAGAGAAAGACAUAAGGUACAGGAGAUGGAGUUUUGAAUGAGCUGUGGCAGACCUGGCUCUCGGAUCAUUCCUGUAAAAAUCAGCUACGUAGUGCAAGGCAAGUCACCACCCCUUUGAAGCCACGGCAUCCUCACGUACAUGCCCACGUCUUAGAAUGUCAGAAGCAGACUGGAUGCACUUUAUUUUUUAUUUUUUUUUGUCUUUUUGCCAUUUCUUGGGCCGCUCCCGCGGCAUAUGGAAGUUCCCAGGCUAGGGGUCUAAUCGGAGCUGAAGCCGCUGGCCUACACCAGGGCCACAGCAACGCUGGAUCCGAGCUGCGUCUGCAACCUACUCCACAGCUCACGGCAACGCCAGAUCCUUAACCCACUGAGCAAGGCCAGGGAUUGAACCCGCAACCUCAUGGUUCCUAGUCGGAUUCGUUAACCACUGCGCCACGACGGGGACUCCUGGAUGCACUUUAGAUACAACUAACCUGGUGAUGAUGGGAUAGUGUUUUGAAGUGAUAACGGAUGUGUCCCAUGCUGCACCCUCUAAUACCUAACUAACUUCUUGUACGCAGGUAGACAGGCAUAUUGCACCCUUGUCUUCGGGAAGAAUGCUUCAGUGCAACCCAGAGAACAAAGACAUGCAUUCUUGGCACAGAAGUUCUCAAAAUCUAGGCCUGUGUGGUCCAGUAGGGUGGCCACUCGCCAGGCUACUGGAAUUUAAGUUACUUAAAUAUUCAGUUCAGAGGUCACACCAGCCAUACACAGCUGUGGCUGCCGUAAUAGCAUUUCCACUAGCAGGGAACGUUCUGUUGGACGAAACGAUCUAAACCCUACGUGUGCUUGGGGCACCUUGAUUGGUCAGGAUUAGUAACCUCCCUCCUCCAAAGAUUUCUCCGGCUACGGAAGAUAUUCAAAGGAUGGUGAAGGGAGUCAAGACACAGACGGGUACCUGGGAGAGCCCCUCUUCUUGACCUCCGUGUGCCAGGUCCCAGGACUGGAAGUGGCGGGGGGGUGGUGGUGGAGGGAAGGACAGAUGCUGAGGUCUGAGCAGACCACCCCUCUACUAGGCGGAGUGGGGGCGGUGGCAAGGCCUCUCAGAAUUCUCUGGGCUCUACCCUGGAGGAGGAGCGCUGGAUGAGUGAGGGCGAUAAGCAGCCUUGCCUCCAGGACAGCCUUCCAUGAGUUUCCCAGAGCCUCUGCGGAGCAGGGAAGCAGAAGAAUAAUUUCCUGUGCCCUGGAGAAUCGCAGGGAGGAAGCAAGCUGAGCGGCAAGGGGUUGUCACGGUGGAUCCAGGUGGAGAGACUUUAGUUCCACGAAGUAGAUGCCCAUCGCCUCCUCCCUUGCACCAUUUAACCCCCCUGGCACUUGGACACAUCCCCGGGAACAGGGGCAGAGGGACCCAGAGGGCCUGAGAUUUUGUUUUGGUGUCAAGUGUGACGCCAUCACGAAUGAGAAAUUGUCAUAUACGCCGAUGUUUGAGUUUACACCUGCCGGGCAUGUCUUAUGCUUGGCUUUCCUGGACAAACGUCCAGAUACAGAGAAGUACGGAUAAUGCAAACACGCUGAAGGAGGCCCUGAGGACCAGGGCCGGGCGUGAGUUCUGUGAGGCCCUCGCCCUGGUGCCCAGAGCAGUGAGCAAUUCCGGGUGGCUGGGCUGCGUGGGGGGUGUCAUUUCCUCUGUUACUGUGAAAAACAUUCUUUGUCUAAAAAAAAAAAAAUGGGUUGUAUUCUUUUAGGAUCCUGUUUUCAAAAUGGGGGUGGUGGUGGUGGUAGAAUUUUCAUUUAAAGAAGAAUGAUUAUUAAGACCAAAGAUUUUCUUUUUUCUUUUUUUUUUUUUUUU
rnacentral:lncRNA from 1 species